GUGGCCGCCGGCAAUCGGCCCUCCCCUCCUUGCCCGCAGCCUCUCCCUCUCCAUCUUCUCUAACCUCCAUUAAUGGAUUUCAAGGUUGAAGCUUUGUUUCCCCAAACUCAAGUUUCUUGCGAAUUAAGUGCUAGGGGUGGCGCAUCCAAGGCUCGAGGAUGGACAACCUAAACCAAGCUUGAGGAGGUUAUUUUGAAUUUCAGCUUUCGAGGUUAAGGAGUCGGUGAUGGGGCAGCAGUCAACGUGGUCCACGGUCUCCCAGCCGCUAUGUUUGACUAGUAGACCCUUUGGUAUUUGGGUAAAAGUGAAUUGGUUGGAGAGUAAACUUGAUAACUUUUAUGCUAUUAUAUUUUGAAUGAUGUAGGUUUCAAUCCGAUUAAGCGGGAUAUUUUAUUUUGGUUGCUGGA